AUCCUUUUGUAGUUCAUAAGCGUGACGACUAGGUGUUCAUGUGCCUGUGUCAGACAUGCCUCCCUCAAACCUUUGCUACACUGGCACGUUACCCAUUUGAAC
ensembl:snoRNA